UGCCUGAAGUUAUCUUGCCUAUUUUGUUGCGUUGGGCUAAUUUUUCUGUUCUGAAUCUUUCAAUUGCAAUUCAGUAAAUUCAUCUUCCUGUCAUUCCAUUCCAACAUUCCGUAGCCAUUCAAAUUCUAACUCAUCCGUUUAACGGGAGACACUUCUGAAAUUCUGAAUUAGUAUGAACUGCUGAAUGGUCAAAUCAAAAGUCAGAUAUCAGAAAUAGGCCAAAUACUUUACAUGCCCAAACUGUUCCUUUUAAAAUGAAAAUGACUCUUGUCGGGCCAAAUGAAGUUUCCCAUCAGAGGCUAUAAGAUAAUGAUUAAUGGACUGUGUGUUCUGCAGACUGUGAAGCGGCAGAUCUUGGCUGCCAUUAGCAAACUACCAACGCCAGAGCCCAGCUGGUGCUGAGCAGCCGCACGCCUUUCGAGUGGGCCAUGAAAUGUGGCUUGUUCUUAUUUAAUCCCCGUGUGUAUGAAGGCCGCAUAUGCUUUCCUACCGCCAGCGCACCACGUGAACCAAGCAGUCCCUAGACAGAGGGCAAGUCCUCCUUAACACACCCAGCUAGGGCAGCGGUCAGCCAUUAGUAUCCCUCAACCAGCCUAAUCGCUCCAGUGGGCAUCCUGGCAUCCGCCGCUUCUCUGGCCAUGGUUCCUGUUCAACUGCUGCCAGAGCCUGCACUGGCAGCAGAGGGAGGAGGGGCCUGAUGUGUGGCUGCCGAAGGGAGGAGUCACGCACCUGUGAAUACACACCUGGCUUCCAGAGAGAACGAGAAGGACAGCCAAGCUGGAGGAGAGACAGAAGAGAAGAGAUAGACAGAAACUCACAGAAAAGAGGGUCUUAAAGUGCAAUGACCUCACCUGCUGGACUCAACUGGACAGAGAACUGAACCUAAGGAUAUUGACGCAGAUAACAACCACCUCAACGGACGUACAUUUACCUGCACAGGUGAGAGAGACUUAUUACUGGAAUUCAAUGGCUGGGAAAACUCUUUAAACUCCUUGGAACAUCAUCCAGUUACAGUGUCAUAUUAAUUGGUUGACCGAUAAAAUUACUGUGCAAAAUGCAGAUCAAAGGAAAUUAAUAUUGAGUUCUAGAGAAAGAAAUUAAUGGAUGGUAUGGAAAUUUAUAGUAAGUUCUAGAGAAAAAAGCAUACUGAUAGCUGGGAAUUUUUUUGACCUUUGGACAGAGACACAUUUGAUUACACAUUCAUAGCAAACAGUGUACCUUUAUCACUGACUAAUCA
ensembl:lncRNA